rnacentral:rRNA from 1 species
UACGUAGGGUGCGAGCGUUAAUCGGAAUUACUGGGCGUAAAGGGUGCGUAGGCGGUUCUAUAAGUCAGUGGUGAAAUCCGGCAGCUCAACUGUCGAUGUGCCAUUGAUACUGCAGAACUUGAGUACAGACGAGGUAGGCGGAAUUGACGGUGUAGCGGUGAAAUGCUUAGAUAUCGUCAAGAACACCGAUAGCGAAGGCAGCUUACUAGACUGUAACUGACGCUGAUGCACGAAAGUGUGGGGAUCAAACAGG